AUCUUGCUACAGUCAACAGUUACUCUGAUUUGCGCUAUGGUAGCUGUUGUAAGAAGUACCUGACUAUGCCGGACUUUUGUGCAGCCUACGGCUGCUCUAAUCACCGCAGUCUGCAAACAAGAACCCGUGGGAUCACCUUUCACCUGUUUAAGGCAGUGGGAACUCGCCCUAAGAAGAGACGGUUUUGUUUCCUGUGACAGGACACUGCUCUGCAGUGAGCACUUCAGGAGUGAGGAAUUUGACCGGACAGGGCAGACUAAUGGCGAAUCGCUACCACUAGGAGCAUAUAUCGCCACCUACUAUGUAUUUAUUAAAUCUUCACGUUCCAUGAGACGCAGCACUAUGUUCCCCACAUAUGUUUAUGUUUGCUCAGUCUAAUAAACCCAUAACAUGGUUGUGAAAGAA